UAGGGAAUCUUCCGCAAUGGACGAAAGUCUGACGGAGCAACGCCGCGUGAGUGAAGAAGGAUUUCGGUUCGUAAAACUCUGUUGUUAGGGAAGAAAAAAUGUAUAGUAACUAUAUACAAAAGAGACGGUACCUAACCAGAAAGCCACGGCUAACUACGUGCCAGCAGCCGCGGUAAUACGUAGGUGGCAAGCGUUGUCCGGAAUUAUUGGGAGUAAAGCGCGCGCAGGUGGUUUAGAAAGUCUGAUGUGAAAGCCCACGGCUCAACCGUGGAGGGUCAUUGGAAACUAAUAAACUUGAGUGCAGGAGAGAAAAGUGGAAUUCCUAGUGUAGCGGUGAAAUGCGUAGAGAUUAGGAGGAACACCGGUGGCGAAAGCGGCUUUUUGGCCUGCAACUGACACUGAGGCGCGAAAGCGUGGGGAGCAAACAGG
rnacentral:rRNA from 1 species